CAAUAGCGUAUAUUAAAGUUGUUGCAGUUAAAAAGCUCGUAGUUGGACUUCUGUGGGUGGCGGCCGGUCGUGCUCGAAACGGGCGUGAACUUGGCGUGCUGCCCGCAUCUUUGGGGAGAUUGUGCGUGGCAUUAAGUUGUCGUGCAUGGGAUUCUCAUCAUUUACUGUGAAAAAAUUAGAGUGUUUAAAGCAGGCCUUUGCCUUGAAUACAUUAGCAUGGAAUAAUAAGAUAGGACCGUUGUCUAUUUUGUUGGUUUACAGAUGUCGGUAAUGAUUAAUAGGGAUAGUUGGGGGUAUUCGUAUUCAGUUGUCAGAGGUGAAAUUCUUGGAUUUUCGGAAGACGCACGACUGCGAAAGCAUUUACCAAGGAUGUUUUCAUUAA
rnacentral:rRNA from 1 species